rnacentral:ncRNA from 2 species
UAUCCAUCAAGAGAGGUGUAGGGACAGGCCCGGAGAUACCUCAGCAACCUACCUAUUCAGGUGUGGUGCUAAUUCCUGACAGAUGGCAA